UGGGGAAUUUUGGACAAUGGGCGAAAGCCUGAUCCAGCAAUGCCGCGUGUGUGAAGAAGGCCUUCGGGUUGUAAACCUCUUUUAGCAGGGAAGAAGCGAAAGUGACGGUACCUGCAGAAAAAGCGCCGGCUAACUACGUGCCAGCAGCCGCGGUAAUACGUAGGGCGCAAGCGUUAUCCGGAAUUAUUGGGCGUAAAGAGCUCGUAGGCGGUUUGUCGCGUCUGCUGUGAAAUCCCGAGGCUCAACCUCGGGUCUGCAGUGGGUACGGGCAGACUAGAGUGCGGUAGGGGAGAUUGGAAUUCCUGGUGUAGCGGUGGAAUGCGCAGAUAUCAGGAGGAACACCGAUGGCGAAGGCAGAUCUCUGGGCCGUAACUGACGCUGAGGAGCGAAAGGGUGGGGAGCAAAACAGGCUUAGAUACCCUGGUAGUCCACCCCGUAAACGUUGGGAACUAGUUGUGGGGUCCAUUCCACGGAUUCCGUGACGCAGCUAACGCAUUAAGUUCCCCGCCUGGGGAGUACGGCCGCAAGGCUAAAACUCAAAUGAAUUGACGGGGUCAUAGCUGUUUCCU
rnacentral:rRNA from 1 species